GACGAACGCUGGCGGCGUGCUUAACACAUGCAAGUCGAACGAAGAGCGACGGAAGCUUGCUUCUAUCAAUCUUAGUGGCGAACGGGUGAGUAACGCGUAAUCAACCUGCCCUUCAGAGGGGGACAACAGUUGGAAACGACUGCUAAUACCGCAUACGAUCUAAUCUCGGCAUCGAGGAUGGAUGAAAGGUGGCCUCUACAUGUAAGCUAUCACUGAAGGAGGGGAUUGCGUCUGAUUAGCUAGUUGGAGGGGUAACGGCCCACCAAGGCGAUGAUCAGUAGCCGGUCUGAGAGGAUGAACGGCCACAUUGGGACUGAGACACGGCCCAGACUCCUACGGGAGGCAGCAGUAGGGAAUCUUCCGCAAGGGACGAAAGUCUGACGGAGAAACGCCGCGGGAGGGAUGACGGCCGUCGGGUUGUAAAGCUCGGUUAAUCGGGACGAAAGGCCUUCUUGCGAAUAGUGAGAAGGAUUGACGGUACCGGAAUAGAAAGCCACGGCUAACUACGUG
rnacentral:rRNA from 1 species